ACAUUAAUAUUUCAUCCAUAUACAUAAACUUGCUGCAAUCCCUCACUUCUCCCGAACCCUAACCUUUUGUCUAACGCCAUACUAUAAUAGGCCUCUCCUCCCUUUUGUCGUUAGAUCCAUUUCUGCUUCUGCCAUCCAAACUUCCGCCACCGCCACAGACGAAUAUCAAGAUAACAGGAAGUUAAAAAGUUACGAGCAGAGAGAAAUGCAGUUGCAAACAAAAUGAAAGGAAAACUAGAACUCUCAGAACGCCAGAAGCUCUUUGAAGAAGGAAAGAAUCUGAAGGAAGAACUUGUUACUUUGGAAGAAGACCUGCUAAAACUUCCAGAUGAGCUGCAGCAAGAAGCACAAUCCAUACCUAAGAUGACACAUCUAGAUGUUCCAUUAGGAGGGGAAGAUUCUUCAACAGUCAGGAAAAUGGUAAUUCUUAUUUGAUAUACACAGGUGUGCAGACCACAUUAUUUUGAUCCUUCUCAAGCCAAGUGAUUUGAGAAACGUUUGACCAUGUGACUCAAAUUUUGCUACAGAUGACCCAUAUGUUGCUACAUAUGAGACAUAUGUUGCUACAGAUGACUUAUCUGUUGCUACAAAUGAAUCAAAUGUUGAU